CACGGGAUACAGCAGUAAUUAAAAUUAAGCAAUAAACGAAAGUUUGACUAAGUUAUGCAACAUUAUAUAGGGUUGGUAAAUUUCGUGCCAGCCACCGCGGUCAUACGAUUAACCCUAAUUAAUAAAGCCCGGCGUAAAGAGUGUUAAAAUUACAAAAACAAUAAGAUUAAAUUUUACCUAAGUCGUAAAAAACAACAGAUAAAAAUAAAAUCAUAAACGAAAGUAAUCUUAAUAGAUCUGAAUACACUAAAGCUAAGACCCAAACUGGGAUUAGAUACCCCACUAUGCUUAGCCAUAAACAAAGAUAUUUAAUAACAAAAAUUUUCGCCAGAGUACUACUAGCAACAGCUUAAAACUCAAAGGACUUGGCGGUGCUUUAAACCCACCUAGAGGAGCCUGUUCUAUAAUCGAUAAACCCCGAUAUACCUUACCACUUCUUGCUAAUCCAGUCUAUAUACCGCCAUCUCCAGCAAACCCCAACAGGGAUUAAAAGUAAGCACAACUAUACUCGUAAAAACGUUAGGUCAAGGUGUAACUAAUGAAGUGGAAAGCAAUGGGCUACAUUUUCUUCUUCCAAGAAAACAACAACAGUAAUCUUUAUGAAAUUAAAGAUUUAAGGAGGAUUUAGUAGUAAAUUAAGAAUAGAGAGCUUAAUUGAAUUAGGCAAUAAAGCACGCACACACC
rnacentral:rRNA from 1 species